AGCAAGCUGUUGUUCUAGCAACACACGUAGCACCUGGAAUUAUCCAUCAAGAACGCUCCAGUCAUCGUGUUUUAUUGUGACGUUGUGCGUGACGACGUGUGCUUUCGUCGUUACAGGAUAAUCCAGCCUUGAAACCUCGAUCGUUUCGCACGAAGGAGAAAGGCAUGUAUCGCCUCUCGGAAGAACAGCAAGAAAGAAAAACAGAAAAGCGGAAGAUGACAGCGGGGCCGAGUCAUGCGCCUCGAAAAAAUCUCCGCGGCAAAGCUACUUUUUGAGCUGCCCUUUCUCCUUCAUAACUCGAGGGAGCGGCCUUCAGGAGUCCUUCCGCGACAACCUCAAGUCUCGCCUGGCCAGCCUCGGGUACUCCAUCUCCCUCGCAACACUACUUGGUACACGGAGCCAGUGGUGUAACCGCGGCGCUUCUCCACUACCUACGUGAUACCGGUCUCCUCAGCAUGCAGCCUGUGACAUCGUGUGUGGGACGACGGAAGACAUCUGACCCCUCAUCGCCUUACUUUUAACUACCGCAGGACCACGCAGUAAAGUGCACAGACGGAGGACACGUUGGAAGGGACGACGGCCGUUGUGGAGACUUUUCCUCGUAACAGCGAACGAAAUGCAAAAG